AAGCAGAGCCGCGUGAAGCCAGGGAAUCUGUUUGAGUUCUUACACUUACGUGGCUCAGCUUGCUUUUCUAGGGUUUGGUCUCUUCUUCAGCAAAGUGGGGUCAAUGGUCACGCCUCUCUCACGCGGAUCAAAGCUGUCUUUGCUUUGCCACUGCCCAGGACAGCAGCAGGGAGGUGAAAGUCAAGGCCAGAAGCAGAAAAACACUGGAGAAGGCAUAUGAGUACCCAUUUGAUAUCUCAGUCCAUGGCUGGUUUGCUUCCAAGAAGAAGCGCCAUGGCAGAAUGGGAUGGUGGAGCCAAGCCGGGUACUGCAUGGCCUGGCAGCAGGUCCGGGCAGCGCUGUGGAGAGACGUACCCACCUACGGUGCUCCCCAGCCCUUCCUCCACGCAGGCGCCGUCUGCUGACAGCACACCCAGCUGGGAGCACUAAUGAUCCACCCUCCGGGGAAUACAGUGUCCUGUGAUCCCUUCCUCUCCAGGAAUCUCGUCAUCACUCAAGCUGACAAUGAAGAUUAACUGGCGCAUGAGAACACAAGAUUUAUUUUUGCUCUUUUCUCUUAUUCUCCCAGGUUGACAGUUGGGUUUAUUCACUGCCUUCCUCUGGCUUGUCUCAGAAAUCUUCAACAUCCAUCUUGCCCCUUUGAACGGGAAAAGAUCUCUUCAGACGUCCAAAUCCCCCUAGACUUAAAACUUGCUAUGGCUCACUGGAACUCGUUAAUUCUGCACGUGGAAGCCCUAAUGAUACACGAACAGCUUUGCGCACACAAGCUCUGCGUUCUCUGUGCCACACCGACGAGCAGGCUGACCGGCAGAGGCGUCCAAAAGGCGAAGCCCAGUGGCCCAGCCAGGGCAGGAUUCAAGUCCAGUCUUCCGAGUGUU